rnacentral:rRNA from 1 species
AUUGAACGCUGGCGGCAGGCCUAACACAUGCAAGUCGAACGAGUGGCGGACGGGUGAGCAAUGUCUGGGAAACUGCCUGAUGGAGGGGGAUAACUACUGGAAACGGUAGCUAAUACCGCAUACCAUCGGAUGUGCCCAGAUGGGAUUAGCUAGUGGGAGGGGGAAAGGCUCACCUAGGCGACGAUCCCUAGCUGGGCUGAGAGGAUGAGCGGCCACAUUGGAACGGAGACACGGUGCAGGCUCCUACGGGAGGCAGCAGUGGGGAAUAUUGCACAAUGGGCGCAAGCCUGAUGCAGCCAUGCCGCGUGUAUGAAGAAGGCCUUCGGGUUGUAAAGUACUUUCAGCGGGGAGGCGUUACCCACAGAAGAAGCACCGGCUAACUCCGUGCCAGCAGCCGCGGUAAUAC